rnacentral:rRNA from 1 species
GACGGAGGGGGCUAGCGUUGUUCGGAAUGACUGGGCGUAAAGGGCGCGUAGGCGGCUUUUUAAGUGAGGCGUGAAAGCCCUGGGCUUAACCCAGGAGGUGCGUUUCAGACUGAAAGGCUUGAGUACGAGAGAGGAAAGUGGAAUUCCUAGUGUAGAGGUGAAAUUCGUAGAUAUUAGGAAGAACACCAGUGGCGAAGGCGGCUUUCUGGCUCGUAACUGACGCUGAGGCGCGAAAGCGUGGGGAGCAAACAGG